rnacentral:rRNA from 1 species
UUUAGAGCAUAAUAGCAUAUGUUUGCCUGACUGCAAGAUUGACAAAUCGAACAGGGACGAAAGUCGGUUAUAGUGAUCCGAUGGUAUUAUGUGGAAAAGCCAUCGCUCAACGAAUAAAAGGUACGUCGGGGAUAACAGGCUAAUAAUUCCCAAGAGACCAUAUCGACGGAAUUGUUUGGCACCUCGAUGUUGGAUUAUCGCAUCCAGGAAUUGAAUAAGAUUCCAAGGGUUUGACUGUUCGUCAAUUAACGCGGUACAUGAUCUGAGUUUAGAACGUUGUAAAACAGUUUGGUCCCUAUCUUCGACAAAUUUUAAAAAUUGAGAGGAUUAGACUUCAGUACGAGAGGACCGAGAAUAAUAAAUCCCUUGUUUAUCAAUUGUUAUACCAAUAGCAUUGUUGAUUAGCUACAUUUGUAAUAGAGAAUUACUGAAAGCAUCUAAGUAAGAAACUAACCUCAAAAUUUAUUUUUUUAAUUGUAAUAGACUAUUACAUUGAUAGGC